rnacentral:rRNA from 1 species
UUUCCUACGGGAGGCAGCAGUGGGGAAUUUUGGACAAUGGGCGCAAGCCUGAUCCAGCCAUGCCGCGUGCAGGAUGAAGGCCUUCGGGUUGUAAACUGCUUUUGUACGGAACGAAAAGGUGCCUUCUAAUAAAGGGCGCUCAUGACGGUACCGUAAGAAUAAGCACCGGCUAACUACGUGCCAGCAGCCGCGGUAAUACGUAGGGUGCAAGCGUUAAUCGGAAUUACUGGGCGUAAAGCGUGCGCAGGCGGUUUUGUAAGACAGAGGGGAAAUCCCCGGGCUCAACCUGGGAACUGCCUUUGUGACUGCAAGGCUGGAGUGCGGCAGAGGGGGAUGGAAUUCCGCGUGUAGCAGUGAAAUGCGUAGAUAUGCGGAGGAACACCGAUGGCGAAGGCAAUCCCCUGGGCCUGCACUGACGCUCAUGCACGAAAGCGUGGGGAGCAAACAGGAUUAGAUACCCGAGUAGUC